rnacentral:rRNA from 1 species
AGACCCGAAACCCGGUGAUCUAGCCAUGGGCAGGUUGAAGGUUGGGUAACACUAACUGGAGGACCGAACCGACUAAUGUUGAAAAAUUAGCGGAUGACCUGUGGCUGGGGGUGAAAGGCCAAUCAAACCGGGAGAUAGCUGGUUCUCCCCGAAAGCUAUUUAGGUAGCGCCUCGUGAAUUCAUCUCCGGGGGUAGAGCACUGUUUCGGCUAGGGGGCCAUCCCGGCUUACCAACCCGAUGCAAACUGCGAAUACCGGAGAAUGUUAUCACGGGAGACACACGGCGGGUGCUAACGUCCGUCGUGAAGAGGGAAACAACCCAGACCGCCAGCUAAGGUCCCAAAGUCAUGGUUAAGUGGGAAACGAUGUGGGAAGGCCCAGACAGCCAGGAUGUUGGCUUAGAAGCAGCCAUCAUUUAAAGAAAGCGUAAUAGCUCACUGGUCGAGUCGGCCUGCGCGGAAGAUGUAACGGGGCUAAACCAUGCACCGAAGCUGCGGCAGCGAACGUAUCACCCAAGACAACUUUACGGAGUUGACGAUUGACGGAGCGAAGCGACGUCAAAGCGUUCAUUAAAGUCGAGUUGGCUUAGGGAUACGUUCGUUGGGUAGGGGAGCGUUCUGUAAGCCUGUGAAGGUGUGUCGUGAGGCAUGCUGGAGGUAUCAGAAGUGCGAAUGCUGACAUAAGUAACGAUAAAGCGGGUGAAAAGCCCGCUCGCCGGAAGACCAAGGGUUCCUGUCCAACGUUAAUCGGGGCAGGGUGAGUCGACCCCUAAGGCGAGGCCGAAAGGCGUAGUCGAUGGGAAACGGGUUAAUAUUCCCGUACUUGGUGUUACUGCGAAGGGGGGACGGAGAAGGCUAUGUUGGCCGGGCGACGGUUGUCCCGGUUUAAGCGUGUAGGUGUGUGUUCCAGGUAAAUCCGGUUCACUUUAACACUGAGGCGUGAUGACGAGGCACUACGGUGCUGAAGCAACAAAUGCCCUGCUUCCAGGAAAAGCCUCUAAGCAUCAGGUAACAUCAAAUCGUACCCCAAACCGACACAGGUGGUCAGGUAGAGAAUACCAAGGCGCUUGAGAGAACUCGGGUGAAGGAACUAGGCAAAAUGGUGCCGUAACUUCGGGAGAAGGCACGCUGACACGUAGGUGAAGUGAUUUACUCA